GCCUCGGUAGCUCAGCCUGGUAGAGCAACAGACGGUCGAGCUGUGGGUCGCGGGUUCAAAUCCCGCCCGAGGCU
rnacentral:tRNA from 2 species